UACAGAGGUCUCGAGCGUCGUUCGGAUUCAUUGGGCGUAAAGGGUGCGUAGGUGGCGUCGUAAGUCAGGUGUGAAAUCUCGGGGCUCAACCCCGAAACUGCACUUGAUACUGCGAUGCUUGAGUACUGGAGAGGAGAUUGGAAUUUACGGUGUAGCAGUGAAAUGCGUAGAUAUCGUAAGGAAGACCAGUGGCGAAGGCGAAUCUCUGGACAGUUACUGACACUGAGGCACGAAGGCCAGGGGAGCAAACGGG
rnacentral:rRNA from 1 species